GGACGGGUGACUAACACGUAUGUAACCUGCCCACAAGCGGGGGACAACAUUUGGAAACAGAUGCUAAUACCGCAUAACAUCGUUGUUCGCAUGAACAACGCUUAAAAGAUGGCUUCUCGCUAUCACUUCUGGAUGGACCUGCGGUGCAUUAGCUUGUUGGUGGGGUAAUGGCCUACCAAGGCGAUGAUGCAUAGCCGAGUUGAGAGACUGAUCGGCCACAAUGGGACUGAGACACGGCCCAUACUCCUACGGGAGGCAGCAGUAGGGAAUCUUCCACAAUGGGCGCAAGCCUGAUGGAGCAACACCGCGUGAGUGAAGAAGGGUUUCGGCUCGUAAAGCUCUGUUGUUAAAGAAGAACACGUAUGAGAGUAACUGUUCAUACGUUGACGGUAUUUAACCAAAAAGUCACGGCUAACUACGUGCCAGCAGCCGCGGUAAUACGUAGGUGGCAAGCGUUAUCCGGAUUU
rnacentral:rRNA from 2 species